rnacentral:rRNA from 1 species
UACGUAGGGGGCAAGCGUUGUCCGGAAUCAUUGGGCGUAAAGCGCGUGUAGGCGGUCCGGUAAGUCCGCUGUGAAAGUCGGGGGCUCAACCCUCGGAUGCCGGUGGAUACUGUCGGGCUUGAGUACGGAAGAGGCGAGUGGAAUUCCUGGUGUAGCGGUGAAAUGCGCAGAUAUCAGGAGGAACACCAAUUGCGAAGGCAGCUCGCUGGGACGUUACUAACGCUGAGACGCGAAAGCGUGGGGAGCAAACAGG